UGGGGAAUAUUGCACAAUGGGCGAAAGCCUGAUGCAGCGACGCCGCGUGAGGGAUGACGGCCUUCGGGUUGCAAACCUCUUUCAGCAGGGACGAAGCGCAAGUGACGGUACCUGCAGAAGAAGCACCGGCUAACUACGUGCCAGCAGCCGCGGUAAUACGUAGGGUGCAAGCGUUGUCCGGAAUUACUGGGCGUAAAGAGUUCGUAGGCGGUUUGUCGCGUCGUUUGUGAAAACCAGCAGCUCAACUGCUGGCUUGCAGGCGAUACGGGCAGACUUGAGUACUGCAGGGGAGACUGGAAUUCCUGGUGUAGCGGUGAAAUGCGCAGAUAUCAGGAGGAACACCGGUGGCGAAGGCGGGUCUCUGGGCAGUAACUGACGCUGAGGAACGAAAGCGUGGGUAGCGAACAGG
rnacentral:rRNA from 2 species